rnacentral:lncRNA from 1 species
CUCCUCACCGAACACAAAACAGAAAUCAAAUCUUCUUCUUCUUCUUCUUCUUUUUCUCAAACUCUUUCUCUCAUAAUCCCAAUGGCUUCAAGAAGCUUCCUCGUUCUUCUUCUAGUGCUCGCUUUGGUAGCCUCUUCCGCUACGGCAGGGCAUCAUCAUUCACACCCCAAGUCCCCGGCCCCUGCACCUUCUCCAGCCGUUGUGGAAGCUCCGUCGGUUCCGCCGUCUUCGAUUUCCGGGACUCCUGUUGAGGCGCCUGCUCCGGCAGCAAACGGCGCUGGUCUUGUUUCUGGAUCAAUGGCUGUUAGUGUUGGGAUCUUUUUUGCUGCUGCUUUGUUUGUUUAGAUUCUUUUUUCUUGACUAAUAUUGGUUUUUGUUUACGACGAUGGAAUUUAGUUAUUUGUUUUAUCAUAUUUAUUUGAUUUUAUUGGUUUAUAUCACAGUUUGAUUAUGAGUAUCAGAUUUAAUUCUGUGUUUAUUUUGGUUUUGUUCAAUUUAUUUAGUUAUAUAGAUUGCUCAAACUUUCCAUUUAACUGCUGAGGAUGAAAGUACACCAAAAUGGAAAAGAAGUAUCAUUAAAAUUAUAAUCCCAUCCCUCAAUAGCAAGUUUUCUGCUUAGUUUUGUAGCAUCAAUCCAUCCACAUUUAUGUGAAUGCUUAUCAUUGAUUGAUAUUCUAUCAAGUCUAAUUAAGUUGGCACGUUUUUUGCUAAAUCCAAAUUCAAGCAACUAAAAAGCAUACCAUUUUGGCCACAACAUCGAAGUACACUUAGGAUUAUAAGUGUUGACGGUUUUUGAUUAGGUUUGAAGGUGAAAUCUCGAGUGAAAAAGGGGAUAUGAAACUGACCUUUUUGGCCUAAAUCCAUGAAACCCAUCUGAGAAAUGGAUCAUUUGCUGAAGAGACAUUUGGUUGCGGUUUGGUGAUAUUUGAUUCGGUUUUCAAAUAUAUUACAUAAAUUUUUUCAUAAUACUCGUACACAAAUUAAUUAGUCUAUGGAAUAAGUUUUGGUGAAAUUCAUUUCAUAAAACUCAUAUUACAUAAUAAAUAAGAAAAUAGUUCAUUGAUUAUGUAACAAAGUAUUUAUGUAUGAACACUACACAACAGCUGAUCAAAUUAUUCCAACAAUUAUUUGAAAUUGAUUGUAGUAUUUUACAUAUUCCUUUUUUGCAUUUAGUCCAAAUAAAAAGGUAAGCAAUAAUAUAGUAUGAGUUGGAUUCUUUUGGAUAUAUAUUUAUGUAAUUUUGUUUGUGUAGGUGGACUUCUCAUAUCAUAUAUAUAUAUAAUUCAUUUUUGUAUCAUAUAACGAACUUAGAGGAUGAAUGUCCAUUUUGUUGUACAUACGAUAAUAUAAAUCUUGACAUUAUUUUUUUGUAAUUGAAACAUUUUUAACUGUUUAACUUAAAAGAUAAACCAUUUAAAAAAAAACUUAAUUUUUGAUAAUUACUCAAAAUUACGCCAAACAUACAAUAUAAAAUAGGAGUUUUUGAAUUUCUUUAUUCUCUAAUCAACUUAAUUGAUCCAAAUGGCCCUAAGUUGUUUUAAUAUUUAAUAUUUAAUAUUAAUAUAAAGUUUUUUUAUAAAAAAAAUUUGAACAAAACCAUUAAAACAAUUAUAGGUUCAUUUUAUUGAAACCAUUGGCAGCCAAAUUUGCUGUAAAAUGGAAAGCCCAAAUUCCUUAAAUAUAAACCAAUGUUGUAUAUAUGCAAAGAAAUUUUGGACAUAUAACAAUCACAUUAAUUACAAUUCAAAAAAGGGAAAAUACAACCACAUUUCAGAAGAAAAAAAAAAUCUAAAAUCAUAAAGUUAGAUUUGUAAAUAAAUCUUUGUAGAUAUUCAACCACUAAAUUUAUGCUUUUAGAAUUUGUCCCCCAAGAUUUCUUUCUAUAUAUGUACACAUGAUUUUGUUCAAUAUGUAAUUGAAAAGAUUCAAUUAUAGAAAGAUUUUCUAAUAAACCUUAGAAAUUUUGCUUUAUAUAUAUAUAUAUAUAAUUUAAAAUUAUUUGGAGGUAGAAAUUCAAAUAAUUAAGAGAGGUUAGAUUUGAAAAUGUGAUUGAAAAUACAUAACUAAAUUGAAUAAUUUGAUUUGGGAUUAAUUUUUUAUAUAGAUGAUUUUCAGCAACCAAAAAUAAAUAUGAAGUGAAUGAAAUUAAAAUAGAGAAAGUAAUUGAUGGAUAAAAUGAACAAAAUAAUGUAAAAUGAAGAACAAUUUGAAUUCAAACAUUGAUAACAUAUUUAAACAAAA